CUGUAAAGGCCCGGCCACACCAACCUCAUAAUCGGCCUUCGGACAGUCUGGCAAGUUCGGUGACUCGAGUCUGUUCGGUGAUCCAAGGCACUCUUUGGAC